rnacentral:rRNA from 2 species
CUAAUACAUGCAAACAGAGUCCCGCCCAGAAAUGGAAGGGACGCUUUUAUUAGAUCAAAACCAAUCGACGUCCGUCUUCCUUCGGGUCGCCGGCGCCGUACUCCUUGGUGACUCUGAAUAACUUUUGGCAGAUCGCACGGUCUCCGAACCGGCGACGCAUCCUUCAAAUGUCUGCCUUAUCAACUGUCGAUGGUAGGUUCUGCGCCUACCAUGGUUGUAACGGGUAACGGGGAAUCAGGGUUCGAUUCCGGAGAGGGAGCCUGAGAAACGGCUACCACAUCCAAGGAAGGCAGCAGGCGCGCAAAUUACCCACUCCCGGCACGGGGAGGUAGUGACGAAAAAUAACGAUACGGGACUCAUCCGAGGCCCCGUAAUCGGAAUGAGUAUACUCUAAAUCCUUAUACGAGUAUCAAUUGGAGGGCAAGUCUGGUGCCAGCAGCCGCGGUAAUUCCAGCUCCAAUAGCGUAUAUUAAAGUUGUUGCGGUUAAAAAGCUCGUAGUUGGAAUCUGUGUCGCCUGUCGGUGUUCAACUGGCGUGUAUGCGGUACGUCCUGCCGGUGGUGGUCCGGUUCCCCGCGGGCACGUAGGAACCGUCCGAGCUCCGCUCGCGUCGGUCCCGAAGUCCCGUGCGGUGCAUCCGGCCGCCUUUUCAAUCCCGUCGCGGUGCUCUUAAACGAGUGUCGAGGCGGGCCGGCACGUUUACUUUGAACAAAUUAGAGUGCUUUAAGCAGGCCCUGUCCCGCCUGUAUGUUGUGUGCAUGGAAUAAUGGAAUAGGACCUCGGUUCUAUUUUGUUGGUUUUCGGAAUCUGAGGUAAUGAUCAAUGGGGACAGGCGGGGGCAUUCGUAUUGCGACGUUAGAGGUGAAAUUCUUGGAUCGUCGCAAGACGGACCGAAGCGAAAGCAUUUGCCAAGUAUGUUCUCGUCGAUCAAGAACGAAAGUUAGAGGUUCGAAGGCGAUCAGAUACCGCCCUAGUUCUAACCAUAAACUAUGCCUGCCAGCGAUCCGCCGAAGUUCCUCCGAUGACUCGGCGGGCAGCUUCCGGGAAACCAGAGCUUUUGGGUUCCGGGGGAAGUAUGGUUGCAAAGCUGAAACUUAAAGGAAUUGACGGAAGGGCACCACCAGGAGUGGAGCCUGCGGCUUAAUUUGACUCAACACUGGAAAACUCACCAGGCCCGGACACCGGAAGGAUUGACAGAUUGAGAGCUCUUUCUUGAUUCGGUGGGUGGUGGUGCAUGGCCGUUCUUAGUUGGUGGAGCGAUUUGUCUGGUUAAUUCC